UGCCAGCCGCCGCGGUAAUACGGGGGGUGCAAGCGUUAAUCGGAGUUAUUGGGCGUAAAGGGUGCGUAGGUUGUUUAUUAAGUUAUCUGGGAAAUACCUAGGCUCAACCUAGGAAUGUCGGGUAAUACUGGUAAACUUGAGUAUGGUAGAGGGAGGUAGAAUUUCCGGUGUAGCGGUGAAAUGCGUAGAGAUCGGAAGGAAUACCGGUGGCGAAGGCGGCCUCCUGGACCAAUAUUGACGCUGAGGUGCGAAAGCGUGGGUAGCAAACAGGAUUAGAUA
rnacentral:rRNA from 1 species